rnacentral:rRNA from 1 species
AUUGAACGCUGGCGGCAUGCUUUACACAUGCAAGUCGAACGGCAGCGCGGGCUUCGGCCUGGCGGCGAGUGGCGAACGGGUGAGUAAUGCAUCGGAACGUGCCCAGUAGUGGGGGAUAGCCCGGCGAAAGCCGGAUUAAUACCGCAUACGACCUGAGGGUGAAAGCGGGGGACCGAAAGGCCUCGCGCUUUUGGAGCGGCCGAUGUCGGAGUAGCUAGUUGGUGGGGUAAAGGCUUACCAAGGCGACGAUCCGUAGCUGGUCUGAGAGGACGACCAGCCACACUGGGACUGAGACACGGCCCAGACUCCUACGGGAGGCAGCAGUGGGGAAUUUUGGACAAUGGGGGCAACCCUGAUCCAGCCAUGCCGCGUGCGGGAAGAAGGCCUUCGGGUUGUAAACCGCUUUUGUUCGGGAAGAAAUCCUCUGGGCUAAUACCCCGGGGGGAUGACGGUACCGGAAGAAUAAGCACCGGCUAACUACGUG